CCGGGGUAAUACGGGAGGCAGCAGCCGCGGUAAUACGGGAGCCAGCAGCCGCGGUAAUACGGGAGCCAGCAGCCGCGGUAAUACGGA
rnacentral:rRNA from 1 species